rnacentral:rRNA from 1 species
CCCUUAGAUGUUCUGGGCCGCACGCGCGCUACACUGAUGCAUUCAACGAGUUUCCUUGGCCGAGAGGCCUGGGCAAUCUUUUGAACCUGCAUCGUGAUAGGGAUAGAUUAUUGCAAUUAUUAAUCUUGAACGAGGAAUUCCUAGUAAACGCAGAUCAUCAAUCUGCAUUGAUUACGUCCCUGCCCUUUGUACACACCGCCCGUCGCACCUACCGAUUGAAUGGUCCGGUGAAAUCUCGGGACGGCGGCUUGGUCGCUUGCGUCCGACUGCUGAAACUUGAUUAAACCAUAUCAUUUAGAGGAAGGUGAAGUCGUAACA